UUGCUGUAAUGACUAUCUUGAGACACCUUUGGAAUACCCAAUGAAAGAAAAAAGCUAUUUUUGAACAAC
rnacentral:snoRNA from 1 species